AUUUUACCCACACAGAAGCAUGUUCCCCUUUUGAAAAGCACUAAUCCUGCCAUCAGCUUAUUCUCUUGACUUUAUUUACUCCCUUACAGCUGUUCUGGUUUUGUUUUUGGUUUGGGUGUUUUGUUUUGUUUUGAUGUCACAGCAGGGAAGGAGCCAGCUUUUUGUGGUUCACCAGCUUUUUGUGGAGUGACAGGAACUGGACCACAGCUUGGGUACCUCAGCAGGCAGAGGUCUCUGCUCCUCUGAAAGGAGCAUCAGAUGGAGCAUUAAAGAAGAGUGUGUUCUCACAGCUGCCCAGCACUAUCAACACUAACCAGAGGAUGAUCUGUAUUUCUGCUGCCCUGUGCCAGAUGGCAGCAUUUUGAUAUGCCAGUCUUCAUUGCAGUUUGAAAAAACCCUUACCUGAACUUGCUGAAAAAAUGAGGAUGCCCCUGGCUAAAGACUGACAUGGCAUAGAGUACAAAUGGAGCAGAAAGUGUCAGAGGCAGGAACUGAAGCUUGGUGCUAGAUGAAUAAUGGGUCUAACAGCAUCAGGAUGAACAUCUGCCCUUUCCCUUCAUCCCAGCCAUGUCAGUGAGAUGGAGUGCAAUGAAGGAGUCCUUUGGAACACAGGUUCAUUUAUGCACGCCUGGUCUGCCCAAGUCAGAUAAGUGAGAGAAACAGAGCAAAGCAAGAUCUCCAGGCACCUAUAGUUUUGGAAAUUUUCUAUUCUCAUUGGUUAAUAACAGUGCCAAGCAACUGUGUCUGCUGCAAACAAGAAAGCUGUGGGCAGCUGUGGGCUGUCCCUGAUCUGCUAUCCAAAAGACAACCCCCCUGUUUUCUAGUUGGCCUCUCCUGAUGAACUACAACUCCCAGAAGACAUCAAUGGCUUUUCAGGCUCGGAGAGCUGCACAGUCUCUGCCCCAAACUAGAGAUGCAGCUGAAGGGGAAAGCAAACUAGCAGGGUAGGACAAGCACAAGAAGCACUCUGACUAUAAUUACUGUGAGCAUUGUCCUCUCAGGAGUGUGGUGUUACUUUUUUGCAAGAAAGAAUUCUAAAGCUGGCAGCAGUCUGUGAUCCUGCUCAGAGGUCUAAAUAAGUUUGGAGUCUGAAGAAGCUUCAUGCACAAGAGCAAAACAGUUGCAUCAGACUGGUUCCAGUCUGGGUUAAAUAUGCCUGGCCCUUCCUGUAUUGCAGAUCAAGAGUUCAAGUAUAAAAUGACAUUAUGUUUUAAAUUGGUAGUUUCAGUGUAAGCAGCAGCUGUAAGUGCAAAAAGCAAUGAUAUUACCAUCACACCCCUAACAGUCAAAACUGUUUGGAAAUCUCAUUUGUUUUUCAUUAGUUACCGCAACAGUUUGAAUAAAAUCCUGUUCAAUCUCAGCAAAGAGUACUUUGGAAAUGUUAGUCUGUUAUUCUUUAAACAAAGUUCAGCAGCUAUUAACAGAGUACUUGUUUAUGAUCUUCUAUAAAUAUUAUGUUUCUGUACUUCUUUGAAAAUGUGGACUUUUUAAUUUCAUUUUUAUUUUAGUAAAAACUGUAAAAUUAUGACUCACCAGCUGCAGAGUGCCAAGACAGGAUAUUUCCCAAUAUAUGGGGCAAACAACAUUUUUAUGUAUUUUUGUUACCAAUCAUAUAAAACCCAGCUUAUUUUUAUAAAUGGCUCCAUAGGCCUGCACCAUAAAAAUUGCAUAUAAUUUUAUCCCAGUUUUCAGGGGUUUUGGUGCCCAUUACCUAGGAAAUGUAAACUC